UGGGGAAUUUUGCACAAUGGGGGAAACCCUGAUGCAGCGACGCCGCGUGAUUUAGAAGGCCUUCGGGUUGUAAAAAUCUUUUCUAUGGGAAGAAAAUGACAGUACCAUAGGAAUAAGGACCGGCUAAUUACGUGCCAGCAGCCGCGGUAAUACGUAAGGUCCGAGCGUUGUCCGGAAUCAUUGGGCGUAAAGGGUACGUAGGCGGGUAAGCAAGUUAGAUGUGAAAUCCUAUAGCUCAACUAUAGUAAGCUUUUAAAACUGCUCAUCUUGAGGUAUGGAAGGGAAAGUGGAAUUCCUAGUGUAGCGGUGAAAUGCGCAGAUAUUAGGAGGAAUACCGGUGGCGAAGGCGACUUUCUGGCCAUAACCUGACGCUGAGGUACGAAAGCGUGGGUAGCAAACAGG
rnacentral:rRNA from 1 species